UGGGGAAUAUUGCACAAUGGGCGAAAGCCUGAUGCAGCGACGCCGCGUGAGGGAUGACGGCCUUCGGGUUGUAAACCUCUUUCAGCAGGGACGAAGCGCAAGUGACGGUACCUGCAGAAGAAGCACCGGCUAACUACGUGCCAGCAGCCGCGGUAAUACGUAGGGUGCAAGCGUUGUCCGGAAUUACUGGGCGUAAAGAGUUCGUAGGCGGUUUGUCGCGUCGGUUGUGAAAACCAGCAGCUCAACUGCUGGCUUGCAGGCGAUACGGGCAGACUUGAGUACUGCAGGGGAGACUGGAAUUCCUGGUGUAGCGGUGAAAUGCGCAGAUAUCAGGAGGAACACCGGUGGCGAAGGCGGGUCUCUGGGCAGUAACUGACGCUGAGGAACGAAAGCGUGGGUAGCGAACAGG
rnacentral:rRNA from 1 species